UUUUUUUUUUUAGUUUCUGUUUCGCUUGGGUACCACUUUACAUUGACUCUUUGAAAGAUAUACAUCAUUAUUGCCCAUCUUGUAGCACAUUACUUGGAGUUUAUCAGAAGUCGGAGACAUUAAGAAGAAACAGAGAAGAUAUUCAUGGCUAUUAUUAAAUUUUAAAUAUUCUAAAGGUAUACAAUACUAAAGUUCUCUGCCUGGCUUGGAAAUAUUUAAAUAUGUUUAUUACAGAUCUUUCUAAAGUAUAUUAAGAAAUUUUCUAAUGCAAAUAAUCUAGUUUUGAGAGAUUUGUACAUAUUCAAUAUAUUAUUGAUAAUACUAUUUUGAUAAUAUUAGUAUUACAACGUAUUGUUUGUUAAAGUGUCUAUCGGUUUUUAUAUAAUCAGGAGUCUGACAAUAAUGUAAACUUUCUUGGAGCGAUAAACAAUUUUUUGGAGCCAGCGUGUGAUGAAAUGAAAGUUUGCUCAAGAGCUUUUUGUUUUUAUGUUAAAUUUUACUAUUGGAGCUAGCUACUAAUAUAUAGAAAAAUUUUAGUCGAUCGCAAAAUGUUAGUCUUUAUAAUGGUUCUACCAUCUCGUUCAUAGCAAACAUGACUGCCUCAUUGAAGUAAUCGAUAUAUACUAGGUUCGUAAUUUUUUUUAUUACUAAGUACACAAGGACUAUUAACGUGGCUAAAUAGCGCUGAAUAAACACAAUUAUAAAUACUAUCAGUAGCAAUGAAAACUCUUACUGUCUUAUUGAUAUCCAGAAUUUAUUUUCAUUGAAAAAUUAGAAGAAAAGUACAAAAUUUGUAAUUUCUUGUAGAUGAAAUGCAUUUUAACGUGAAUUAACUCAAGGCCAUGAUGGUGAUUUUCAAACUUCAGUGUAUUAAAUAGUAAACAGAAAGCUACUGCUGUCAUUAACUCCAAAAUAAUGAAAGUGGCCCAACAGCGAAUCCUUUAGUAACCCUCCCAUGAAUUCUAACAUAUCAUCACCUGUGCAGUGUUUCGGCUUCCAGAGCAUUUACAAGACCACGCAUAAAGUGCACAUUCAUCUUUUCCUACGUUGCCAUGCUUUCUGAAAGAAAUGGUAGAAAAUACGAUGUGUAAGAAAACAAGCUCUUUAUGCUUUUCAUUACAGCGCCAUCUUGCCGUACUGUACAGCGAAAAUUGUUUGUAACGAUGGUUUCUACCACCUCGUAAAUUUUGCCAAUGUACCCUGUACAUGCAUUCUUUAUAAUAUAUAAUAAAUAUAUAUAUUUUUUUA